rnacentral:rRNA from 1 species
UACGUAGGUGGCAAGCGUUGUCCGGAUUUACUGGGCGUAAAGAGCGCGCAGGCGGUCGUUCAAGUCGCGUGUGAAAGCCCCGGCUCAACUGGGGAGGGUCACGCGAUACUGAUCGACUCGAAGGCAGGAGAGGGUAGUGGAAUUCCCGGUGUAGUGGUGAAAUGCGUAGAUAUGCGGAGGAACACCGAUGGCGAAGGCAAUCCCCUGGGCCUGUACUGACGCUCAUGCACGAAAGCGUGGGGAGCAAACAGG